rnacentral:rRNA from 1 species
CGGGACGGGUGAGUAAUGUCUGGGAAACUGCCUGAUGGAGGGGGAUAACUACUGGAAACGGUAGCUAAUACCGCAUAACGUCGCAAGACCAAAGAGGGGGACCUUAGGGCCUCUUGCCAUCGGAUGUGCCCAGAUGGGAUUAGCUAGUAGAUGGGGUAACGGCUCACCUAGGCGACGAUCCCUAGCUGGUCUGAGAGGAUGACCAGCCACACUGGAACUGAGACACGGUCCAG